GAUGAGUCAAGGAAAAUCUAAGGCUCGGCUCUCCUGUCGCCUGCGUGGGAAGUGUUGGGGGCCCAUGUCCCUGCUCAAUCCUGCCCAGCUGGCACGAAAACUCAAGAAACGAUGAGCCGAAUUGCUGUGGUCUCAGAGGGCCUCUUGCCAGUCCCCAGCGUCAAGAUGAUCGCUGAACAGUCUGCUUCUGCGGAUCGAGUGUACUUACAGUAAAAUCGGCGCUGGUAGCGGUUGCAGUGGUGGUGGCGGUGGUGCCGGUGG